GGGAAUGUGUCUUGUUCUAACUUCAUGUUGCUUGGGACCAGCAUUUGUCUGGCAAUGGUUUUAAUACAGACCAAACCAGGAAAAACAGGGAUGGAACAUAAGAAGCUUUGUAAAAUGGAAGAAGCUUUUGGCGUGUCAAACAGGCAUGAAAGAAAAAUCUAGUCUGUGAUUUGAAGACUGCUGCAGGUGUUUAACCAUCUGUAUCUCUCCAAGAAGUGAAGGUUGCUAAGUGACCAUUACUACUUAUCUAAUACAGAAUCAACCAAACUGUUUA